CACAGUGGCUUUGUCCCAAAUCAGGGGCAGCAUCCUUCGGAGUGCGCAUUUAAAGUGCGAUUACGUCACAACUCCGCGCGAAGGCUGCCCCAAUUCAAAGGAUCCUCCAAAUGCUCCCCACAUAUGCUGUCUGCUUUUCCUUCAUCCUGGGGAUGCACCGCCACUAUCCUUUGCGGCUAAAUUGCCCAAGAUUCAUUGCGCGCCCGAAGAGAUGAGAGAAAGAAAGAAAUAACGGCGACCUCAAGUGGCAUAUUAAACGAUUGCAAAUAUCCAGGGACAGGAGAGGGUCAGCGGAAGGCCCAGUGCUGCUACUGGGUCCUGGUUUGUCCUCAUGGAUGAGGUCUUCGGACAGAGGCGUACCACUGCCCCCCUGUCCUAACUGCCUCCAUCCCUGAGGAUGCACAGGGCCAAGUGACCAGGAAUAGGGGGAAGAUGACGAUGAGGAGGAGGAGAGCCAGCCAGGGCCGAGGAGGAAGAGGAGGAGGCAGGAUGAAGGAGGACAUGAGGCUGCAGAGAGAGGAUGGAGAGGCUCUUCUGUCUGCUCCAGAUGACAAUCCUUACAUUAUUUCUGUUAUUUAGUUCAUUUAUGAGUUCUUUUUUAAAUUAUUUGUUCAUAAUUGUUCAUUUUACAUAAUUCAUGAAAUAAAAUAAAAUUUAAUGAAUAAAUUGUUCUCUUGUUA